ACAAACGUUGCAUGCAUCAUAUGCAUAAGCAGGUUUUGUUCUGAGCUCUUGAUCAGUGGUCUAACUCUUUGCUCUUCAUUUCUUUUGAAGACAAGUUGACGCGUCGGUAUAAUACCAGGGCCAAUCAUCCAAGGAUGAUGGUGCAUUUAGAGCAAGAGAAUAGGUACUUGAAGGAAGAGAUCGCUAGGCUGACUGCCAUGAUGGAUUCAGUUCUGGCCGCCCAGAGCCAAGCUUCGCCAACUCCUGCAACUCCUCCCGCG
rnacentral:lncRNA from 1 species